rnacentral:rRNA from 1 species
AUGGGAACCGCACUGCAUCGCCGUGCGGUGCAUACUGCAUCACUGAACUUUUUGAGCUGCAUCAUUUUUUGUCACGGGGGUGUAUUGCAAGCAAACCACCGAUGCACCGUCAGCUUCCUGCUCGUGGUUUGUGUCGCUUCCGCACAUGGAGAGAACUGCAGCACAAUGCCCGUUCUCUUGUGGCCAGGAGGGAAGAGGGGCUCGGGGAGGCAGCCAUGGCCAAGUGGAGCAGGGAACUGCACAUCUCCCGCCGGAGUGCUGCUUCAUGGGAGGCGGCAAACUGCAGCGCCCAUUCCACGACGCCAAAGGAAAAACACCUGCCCGAUGUGCUGUGCGGCAGAUUAA